rnacentral:rRNA from 1 species
CGGGAAGAGCUCAAAUUUGUAAUCUGGCGGUCUACGGCCGUCCGAGUUGUAAUCUGGAGAAGCGUUUUCGGCGCCGGUCCGCGUACAAGUCCCCUGGAACGGGGCGUCGCAGAGGGUGAGAAUCCCGUCUUUGACGCGGUACGCCGGUGCCAUGCGAUGCGCUCUCGAA